UACAGGGGGGGCAAGCGUUACCCGGCUUUAUAGGCGUAAAGGGUACGUAGGCGGCUAUUUCAAUUACAGGUAAAAUCCCGGAAAGAUGCUUAAGAGGUUUUUCGGAACGUCCUGUGAUAAUGCAUAGCUCAGAGUUGAUUGGGAGUUGGGGGAAUUUCCGGAGUAGGGGUAAAAUCCGGAGAUACCGGAAGGAAUGCCGGAGGCGGAGGCGCCUUUCUGUGGUCGACUGACGCUGAGGUACGUAGGUUUGGGGAGCAAACGGG
rnacentral:rRNA from 1 species